rnacentral:rRNA from 1 species
UACGGAGGGUGCGAGCGUUGUCCGGAAUCACGGGGCGUAAAGGGCGCGUAGGCGGCCUGAUAAGUAGGGGGUGAAAUCCUGCGGCUUAACCGCAGGGCUGCCUUCUAAACUGUCAGGCUCGAGCACAGUAGAGGCAGGUGGAAUUCCCGGUGUAGCGGUGGAAUGCGUAGAGAUCGGGAAGAACAUCAGUGGCGAAGGCGGCCUGCUGGGCUGUUGCUGACGCUGAGGCGCGACAGCGUGGGGAGCAAACAGG